rnacentral:sRNA from 1 species
UAGAGGUGGCGGAGACAGGAACGGAGCCAAGGCUGCGGAGGCGGGAGGCGGGAUGU